rnacentral:rRNA from 1 species
CCUACGGGAGGCAGCAGUGGGGAAUUUUACGCAAUGGGGGAAACCCUGACGUAGCGACACCGCGUGAGCGAAGAAGCCCUUUGGGGUGUAAAGCUCUGUCAACAGGAACGAAAAAAAUGACGGUACCUGUGGAGGAAGCAUCGGCUAACUACGUGCCAGCAGCCGCGGUAAGACGUAGGAUGCAAGCGUUGUCCGGAUUUAUUGGGCGUAAAGAGUUCGUAGGCGGUUUGUUAAGUCUGAUGUUAAAGACCGGGGCUCAACCUCGGAAAUGCAUUGGAUACUGGCAGACUGGAGUGCAGUAGAGGCUAGUGGAAUUCCCAGUGUAGCGGUGAAAUGCGUAGAUAUUGGGAAGAACACCGGUGGCGUAGGCGACUAGCUGGGCUGUAACUGACGCUGAGGAACGAAAGCCAGGGGAGCAAAUGGGAUUAGAUACCCCGGUAGUCC